GGCGAACGGGUGAGUAACACGUGGGCAAUCUGCCCUUCACUCUGGGACAAGCCCUGGAAACGGGGUCUAAUACCGGAUAACACUCUGUCCCGCNNGGACGGGGUUGAAAGCUCCGGCGGUGAAGGAUGAGCCCGCGGCCUAUCAGCUUGUUGGUGGGGUGAUGGCCUACCAAGGCGACGACGGGUAGCCGGCCUGAGAGGGCGACCGGCCACACUGGGACUGAGACACGGCCCAGACUCCUACGGGAGGCAGCAGUGGGGAAUAUUGCACAAUGGGCGAAAGCCUGAUGCAGCGACGCCGCGUGAGGGAUGACGGCCUUCGGGUUGUAAACCUCUUUCAGCAGGGAAGAAGCGANAGUGACGGUACCUGCAGAAGAAGCGCCGGCUAACUACGUGCCAGCAGCCGCGGUAAUACGUAGGGCGCAAGCGUUGUCCGGAAUUAUUGGGCGUAAAGAGCUCGUAGGCGGCUUGUUGCGUCGGUUGUGAAAGCCCGGGGCUUAACCCCGGGUCUGCAG
rnacentral:rRNA from 1 species